CAAAUCAUAAAGCCGAAUCUCCGAAAGGAGUACGGGGGAUUUUUUUCAGGGGUGAAUCUCGUGUGACGAGUAGGGUGUGUCCUCGACCCGAACCCGGCAACUAACCUCGGAGGCGAAGGAGGAGGAAGAA
rnacentral:sRNA from 2 species